AUUUUAUACUAGUUUAUUCUUCAGUAAAAUUGUUUUUCGAUACAAUAGCAACAGUCCUAGUAAUUGCUGAACUACGGUGUAUCGACUAUCACUGGCGACUCCGCACAAAUGAUUCCAUAUCCUCUGAAAAUGAAACGACACACCGAUAUGUUCACGCCGGGUACUUUUGUUGAAGCGCGCUAAUCAAACUAGGUACGAUAAGUGCGCAUUUGUUGUUUCAUAUACAUGCAUACUAUCAAUAUUUUUAAUACGGUAUGGCAGUAUACACAAGCUCUACCUCACACCAUCCAUUCACGGUUGCUCAUAGGUACGUGGCCUGUUACAAUAUCAUCGAGAUAAAUCAAUACAAAUUUACUAACCAACACACGGAAUAGUAAGUAGUAUACUAUUUGGUCGUAGCAAAACAAAAAAAAAAUGUUGCUGCACACAAAUACUAGCCCUAGUUAUUACUCAUGGAUUGGAAUGGAAUGUCUGUCACAACCUGCGCUGGUUUUAGUAUUACAUGGACUCAGAUUUUAAUGCCCCAAAAACUGUAAAAAAUAUUGAAAAAAUGCAUUUUAACUACAAUUAUGUCCGUAAAAAAUUACACAAUUUUUUUUAUAUUCUUUAUUUUAAUUGUACCUAU